GAUGAACGCUGGCGGCGUGCCUAAUACAUGCAAGUCGAGCGAACAGACGAGGAGCUUGCUCCUCUGACGUUAGCGGCGGACGGGUGAGUAACACGUGGAUAACCUACCUAUAAGACUGGGAUAACUUCGGGAAACCGGAGCUAAUACCGGAUAAUAUAUUGAACCGCAUGGUUCAAUAGUGAAAGACGGUUUUGCUGUCACUUAUAGAUGGAUCCGCGCCGCAUUAGCUAGUUGGUAAGGUAACGGCUUAUCAAGGCAACGAUGCGUAGCCGACCUGAGAGGGGGAUCGGCCACCCUGGAACUGAGACACGGUCCAGACUCCUACGGGAGGCAGCAGUAGGGAAUCUUCCGCAAUGGGCGAAAGCCUGACGGAGCAACGCCGCGUGAGUGAUGAAGGUCUUCGGAUCGUAAAACUCUGUUAUUAGGGAAGAACAAAUGUGUAAGUAACUAUGCACGUCUUGACGGUACCUAAUCAGAAAGCCACGGCUAACUACGUG
rnacentral:rRNA from 1 species